UACGGAGGGCGCUAGCGUUAUUCGGAAUUACUGGGCGUAAAGCGCACGUAGGCGGCUUUGUAAGUAAGAGGUGAAAGCCCAGAGCUCAACUUCGGAAUUGCCUUUAAGACUGCAUCGCUUGAAUCAUGGAGAGGUCAGUGGAAUUCCGAGUGUAGAGGUGAAAUGCGUAGAUAUUCGGAAGAACACCAGUGGCGAAGGCGACUGACUGGACAUGUAUUGACGCUGAGGUGCGAAAGCGUGGGGAGCAAACAGG
rnacentral:rRNA from 1 species